AUUGAACGCUGGCGGCAGGCCUAACACAUGCAAGUCGAGCGGAGCGGCGGACGGGUGAGUAAUGGCUAGGAAUCUGCCUGGUCGUGGGGGAUAACGUCCGGAAACGGGCGCUAAUACCGCAUACUAGCAGAUGAGCCUAGGUGGGAUUAGCUAGUGGGUGGGGUAAAGGCCUACCAAGGCGACGAUCCGUAACUAGUCUGAGAGGAUGAUCAGUCACACGGGAACUGAGACACGGUCCAGACUCCUACGGGAGGCAGCAGUGGGGAAUAUUGGACAAUGGGCGAAAGCCUGAUCGAGCCAUGCCGCGUGAGUGAAGAAGGUCUUCGGAUUGUAAAGCACUUUAAGUUGUGAGGCGUUACCAACAGAAUAAGCACCGGCUAACUUCGUGCCAGCAGCCGCGGUAAUUC
rnacentral:rRNA from 1 species